rnacentral:rRNA from 1 species
AACGAACGCUGGCGGCAUGCCUAACACAUGCAAGUCGAACGAGACCUUCGGGUCUAGUUGCGCACGUGUGCGUAACGCGGGGGAACCUGCCCUUAGGUUCGGAAUAACUCCCCGAAAGGGGUGCUAAUACCGGAUAAUGUCUUCGGACCAAAGAUUUAUCGCCUUUGGAUGGGCCCGCGUUGGAUUAGCUAGUUGGUAGGGUAAAAGCCUACCAAGGCGACGAUCCAUAGCUGGUCUGAGAGGAUGAUCAGCCACACUGGGACUGAGACACGGCCCAGACUCCUACGGGAGGGAGCAGUGGGGAAUAUUGGACAAGGGGCGAAAGCCUGAUCAAGCAAUGCGGCGUGAGUGAUGAAGGCGUUAGGGUUGUAAAGCUCUUUUACACGGGAUGAUAAUGACAGUACCGGGAGAAUAAGCUCCGGCUAACUCCGUG